UACGGGGGGUGCAAGCGUUAAUCGGAAUCACUGGGCGUAAAGGGUGCGUAGGCGGUGCAUUAGGUCUGUCGUGAAAUCCCCGGGCUCAACCUGGGAAUGGCGGUGGAAACCGGUGUACUAGAGUAUGGGAGAGGGUGGUGGAAUUCCAGGUGUAACGGUGAAAUACGUAGAGAUCUGGAGGAACAUCAGUGGCGAAGGCGGCCACCUGGCCCAAUAAUGACGCUGAGGCACGAAAGCGUGGGGAGCAACCAGG
rnacentral:rRNA from 1 species